UACGUAGGGCGCAAGCGUUGUCCGGAAUUAUUGGGCGUAAAGAGCUCGUAGGCGGCCUGUCGCGUCCGCUGUGAAAUCCCGGGGCUUAACCCCGGGCGUGCAGUGGAUACGGGCUGGCUGGAGGCAGGCAGGGGAGAACGGAAUUCCUGGUGUAGCGGUGAAAUGCGCAGAUAUCAGGAGGAACACCGGUGGCGAAGGCGGGUCUCUGGGCCGAUAUUGACGCUGAGGAGCGAAAGCGUGGGGAGCGAACAGG
rnacentral:rRNA from 1 species